rnacentral:rRNA from 1 species
AUUGAACGCUGGCGGCAUGCCUUACACAUGCAAGUCGAACGGUAACAGGUCUUCGGAUGCUGACGAGUGGCGAACGGGUGAGUAAUGCAUCGGGACGUGCCCAGUAGUGGGGGAUAGCCCGGCGAAAGCCGGAUUAAUACCGCAUACGACCUGAGGGUGAAAGGGGGGGAUCGCAAGACCUCUCGCUAUUGGAGCGGCCGAUGUCAGAUUAGCUAGUUGGUGGGGUAAAGGCCUACCAAGGCAACGAUCUGUAGUUGGUCUGAGAGGACGACCAGCCACACUGGGACUGAGACACGGCCCAGACUCCUACGGGAGGCAGCAGUGGGGAAUUUUGGACAAUGGGCGCAAGCCUGAUCCAGCAAUGCCGCGUGCAGGAAGAAGGCCUUCGGGUUGUAAACUGCUUUUGUCAGGGAAGAAAUCUUCUGGGUUGAUACCUCGGGAGGAUGACGGUACCUGAAGAAUAAGCACCGGCUAACUACGUGCCAGCCGCCGCCGUAAGAC